CGUGGGAUAGUUGGGUCAAAUGGUGGUUCCAUUUCCAGUUUUCCAAGGAAUCUCCAGAUUGCUUUCCAUAUUGGCUGCACCAAUUUGCAGUCCCAUCAGCAAU
rnacentral:pre_miRNA from 1 species